GAUGAACGCUGGCGGCGUGCUUAACACAUGCAAGUCGAACGAAGCACUUUAUUUGAUUUCCUUCGGGACUGAUUAUUUUGUGACUGAGUGGCGGACGGGUGAGUAACGCGUGGGUAACCUGCCUUGUACAGGGGGAUAACAGUUGGAAACGGCUGCUAAUACCGCAUAAGCGCACGGCAUCGCAUGAUGCAGCGUGAAAAACUCCGGUGGUAUAAGAUGGACCCGCGUUGGAUUAGCUAGUUGGUGAGGUAACGGCCCACCAAGGCGACGAUCCAUAGCCGACCUGAGAGGGUGACCGGCCACAUUGGGACUGAGACACGGCCCAAACUCCUACGGGAGGCAGCAGUGGGGAAUAUUGCACAAUGGGCGAAAGCCUGAUGCAGCGACGCCGCGUGAGCGAAGAAGUAUUUCGGUAUGUAAAGCUCUAUCAGCAGGGAAGAUAAUGACGGUACCUGACUAAGAAGCACCGGCUAAAUACGUG
rnacentral:rRNA from 1 species